rnacentral:rRNA from 1 species
GAUGCAGGCAUCCGGUAAGCUUUUUUCUCCUCCAAAUCGAUGGCUACGUUCGUCUUUCCUUCGACAAUGGUACGCAUGAGCUUAUCCAUAUUCGUCACUUUGAUAUGUAG